AAGGGAGAAGAGGUUUGUGUUCACUUACAGUUCAAGGAUAUUGCCCUUCAUGAUGGGGGGAGUCAAGGCACCAGGAGCUGGAAGCAGCUAGCCAUGUUACAUCCUUACAUCCACAGUCAGAAGAGAGUGAUGGAUGUCUGCCUGCACGUGAGUGCUCAGCUUGCUUUCUCCAUCCUGACACAGCUGAGGGUCCCCUGCCCAGGGGAAUGGUGCCACCCACAGUAGGCAAGUCUUCCCACGAUGCCCCGCAACAGACAUGCCCAGAGGCCAGUCUCCUAGCCUUUGUUCUUGAUGACUGACACUAACCAUCUGGGAAAUCUUAGCUUAAUUUUGGCCAGGGCCUCACUUCUAGCAACCAAUCAGACUGAUUUACCCUUUAAAGAACCUGCAUUUGCCCAGGGGAGUGGGAUGGACCGUCACCCUGCAGCCUGUGCUUCUGCUAGAAUCAAUACAUGAUACUAACGUGUGCCCCUCAGCUGCUGAACAAGCAUUUGUAGCUUGUACAUUGGCAGAAUGGGCCAAAGGCUUAUGUUGUGACCCAUUUUGAAAAUAAAGUAUCUUGAAAU